rnacentral:rRNA from 23 species
UUGCGGUCCACGGAUACAAUUCCCGGACCACGCCUGGCUGAGGGUC